GAUGAACGCUGGCGGCGUGCCUAAUACAUGCAAGUCGAACGAAACUUCUUUAUCACCGAGUGCUUGCACUCACCGAUAAAGAGUUGAGUGGCGAACGGGUGAGUAACACGUGGGCAACCUGCCCCAAAGAGGGGGAUAACACUUGGAAACAGGUGCUAAUACCGCAUAACCAUAGUUACCGCAUGGUAACUAUGUAAAAGGUGGCUAUACUACCGCUUUUGGAUGGGCCCGCGGCGCAUUAGCUAGUUGGUAGGGUAAAGGCUUACCAAGGCAAUGAUGCGUAGCCGAAUUGAGAGGUUGAUCGGCCACAUUGGGACUGAGACACGGCCCAAACUCCUACGGGAGGCAGCAGUAGGGAAUCUUCCACAAUGGGCGAAAGCCUGAUGGAGCAACGCCGCGUGGGUGAAGAAGGUCUUCGGAUCGUAAAACCCUGUUGUUAGAGAAGAAAGUGCGUGAGAGUAACUGUUCACGUUUCGACGGUAUCUAACCGGAAAGCCACGGCUAACUACGUG
rnacentral:rRNA from 1 species